UUAGAGAAAAACUACCAGCAUUUUACUACCAGUGCCACAAGGAGACUGACUCUUGAGGCAGAACUGCUCAGCAAAGGGAACAAAUGAGGAUUAGAACUUGUAAAAACACUUCCCUUCUUGUGAAAAACACCUUUUUAAAGAGUUGACAGCCCUCUGGAUUACAGACUGAGGACUGGCUGCCCAUCAAGACAGACAAGAGUAAGUUCCAAAAUGGAAAAUGUACUAACUGUAACUGGGAAAUUUAAAGGUUAGAAAUAGUGAAUCAAAUCAUGUAGUUAUGUAUUUGGAUCAUAAGUACCAAGCAAAAAGAAAUUCCUUACAUACUAUAAGAAACCAAAUCUAAUAGCAGUAAUGAUGGAGAGAAACUAGCACCUGGGGGUUUGAGACAUGCCGUUUGACAUGCCGUUUGUUUGAUAAGAUUGUUUGUUAAAACAUGCCCUUUGGUUGGUAAGACGUGGGAGUUGCUAGGGGAGGGUUGGUUCCGUGGGUUGGACGGGUGCCAAGGGACCAGAGGGCUGGCGCCAGAGUUGUAGCUGCGGGAAUGUGGUGACAGGGGCCCAGAGGGCAUGCGCCAGAGAUAAAAGCUGAGAAGUUCAUGAAGAAGAGGGAGCUUUACUUCAUCCUUGAGACCCCGGUCCACGACCACCAGGAAGAUUUGCGGAGGUGCGAAGAGAAGAGACAAAGGCGGGACAUAUGGAAAUGAGUUAUUGGAAAGCCUAUGAAUAUGUAUAAGCAUCUUAUGAAUAUGUAUCGUUCUGGGCAUACAGGAAGUAACCCCGAGUCAUAUGGGUGUUCGUGUUUGUGGUGGAGCGACCCCCCGUGCACCUGGUACCGAAUAAACAUACCUACUUUACAACCUUAAA